CUGAAAGUUUUGUUUGGGUUUCUCGUAUCAGGGACGCAGAGAUGGGCAGUACAUAGGGCUGCUUUCGCUUUUUACUUUUUGCUUUUGGCUUUUCUGCUUUUGCUUGCUUGCUUGCUGUCUGUCUGCUCUCGCUUUUGCUUCUGCUUAUUAGCUAGUUUAGCUAAACAGUCCAAAUUCCUUCCUGGACUGUUUCUCCUCUCCUGUUGCUGUGACCAUCUCGAACCUGCUCCGGACUGGGACCUGGGAACACCGAGGGUUUGCACCAUUUGGCUGCAGCAGCUGCCCAGCGCCGGAGGGACUGAGAAGAGAGCAACCAUCCCUGAAAGAGACUUUCUGAUUUUGCCAUCUUUCCCAGAGCGGUGUCAUCUGCAGCUGUCUUCAAUCAUUCCUGCUGUUUGCAGAGAGUAAAAAAUCACUCUGGGGAUUUGCUUCUGGGAACAGCGAUCCAUUUACUAAUGGGAGUCAACUGAGUGUCUGUGAGAAAUGAGGAUGCUGCAGAUGGAGUGAUAGGAUGUAGGGUCUGUAGUGAAUAUUUUCAGCCCAGGGAUAACUUGGUGUUCCCUGAAUUGGAUGUGUACUUCUGGUGCCUGAAGGAUCAUCUUAGGCAUAGCACUGGAAAAGUCAGGAAUAAUCAAAAGAUAAGAGCACCAAGUGGGAGGAAGCUGGAAGGACAAUUUUUAGAUUUGACCUUGGGUUCCAGUUCUCAUGGUGGGUCUGUGGUGUCAAAGUACACCUGUACUCUGUGGUGCUGGGGUACCUGUUUGUUCAUGUUUUGAGCUUGGAAGACACACUGGACAUGAAAUUCCUGGGAAGCUGCACUUGCAGUAGUGGCUGGAGCAAGAAGAAGUGGAAGCUGUUUGCUAUCUGCUUGUUCUCCACCUUCAGCUCUGUUUCCUGGGUCUCAGGAAUUGUCUCAUUGUACAGUCUGUGGCGUAACACUUUCCGUGCAAGGAUAAUUGCAGUGGAAGAAGGCAGUUGAAGCCAAGAGCCUGGACUAGGAUGCCCUAGGCCCCUGCCAAGCGCAGGUUACAAAACAGCAAAAAAAAGUCAACAAAAACAAAACAUGUCAACAGACUGGGAGUAGCACAGAAGAUAUACAAAAGAUAACGACCAGUAAUGACCAUUAAUGAUCAUCAACUCCAAACAUCACCCCUGGUGAUGGAGUUGGAGACACCUGGUCUGGAAAAGACUCAUAAGAACACCAAGGAAUGAGCAACAAAUUAGCAUCGGUGGGAAGACAUCUGUAACCAGUAAGAAACCAAAUACUAAGACCUGCAUAACUUGGGAACAAUGAACAUUGAAUGAAUUAAUUUCUAUGCGUUUUGACUGUAUAAAGUCUAGGAAAACAAUCUAGUAAAAUUCAUAUGUCAUGGAAUUAUUUUCUCUACACACCUGGGCAAUGUGUGGCUGAAAUGAUUUCUGUUGCACAUCCUGGCCAGAACAACAUUCUGACCAGAAUAAAGUGUGAAAAAUGCAUGUCUUUUAUGAAUGGCUUUUCACAAAUAUUAAAAUGAAUAUUAUAUGUGUUGUGUCAGAAAGCAAUGCUGUAUUAAUUCUCUUUAGUACAGUGUUAAAUAUAGUUUUAGGUUAUAAAAAAUAUUAAAAUAGAAACGAUGCUAUGUAGGAUACUUUUUUUAAAGAAAGGACUCGCACCGAGAUAGCAGCCACAGGACACCUGAAUCUUGCAGAGAAAAAGAAUUUAUUGCCCUCUUAUCAGAAGAAAUAAACUUCUUCCUGCCUCGAAGGCGCUGUUAGGAUUCGGAGGAAGAAGUUGACGAUGGCCAGA